rnacentral:tRNA from 1 species
UAAUAUACUGGUCUUGUAAACCAGAAAAGGAGAACAACCAACCUCCCUAAGAC